UCCCUGGUAGUAUAUCGGUUAGUACACGCGCCUGUCAAGUGCCGUAUUAUUGUUGAUAUCGCGCGAAAGCUGGGUUCGACUCCCAGCCAGGGAG